CCCUUAGACGUUCUGGGCCGCACGCGCGCUACACUGACGAAGGCAACGAGCUUUCCUGCACCGAAAGGUGUGCGUAAUCUUUUGAAACUUCGUCGUGCUGGGGAUAGAUCCUUGCAAUUUUUGAUCUUAAAAACGAGGAAUUUCUAGUAAGCGCGAGUCAUCAACUCGCGUUGAUUACGUCCCUGCCCUUUGUACACACCGCCCGUCGCUACUACCGAUUGAAUGGUUUAGUGAGGCCUUCGGAUCCGCGACUCGUUUGUGGAGUAGUUGGACAAACUACAUCAUUUAGAGGAAGUAAAANUCGUANCA
rnacentral:rRNA from 1 species